GCGUGCGCGGGGGAGCGCAGCUGCUCCAUGUUUCCUCUGAGGAAGGCGUGGACAACCCACCGUCCCUCCACUGUGGAAAAGACCUUGAUAUCACUGUCUUCGCUGCCAUUGAGUUCAGCCUGAUUGGGCUACAAAAGAACUGAUGAGUACGAAGGACCAGACAACAGCCCUGAAAUUAACUCUCCAGGCGACUCUCUUCUGUUUUCUGUGUGUAUAACUGUUCAUUUUCAGAUAUUUCGGCUGCAGCUACACUAUUAAAUGUGAAUUUGUUAAACUGCG